rnacentral:rRNA from 1 species
AGAACUUAGCAGAGAUGCUUUGGUGCCUUCGGGAACUCUGAGACAGGUGCUGCAUGGCUGUCGUCAGCUCGUGUUGUGAAAUGUUGGGUUAAGUCCCGCAACGAGCGCAACCCUUAUCCUUGUUGCCAGCGGUCCGGCCGGGAACUCAAAGGAGACUGCCAGUGAUAAACUGGAGGAAGGUGGGGAUGACGUCAAGUCAUCAUGGCCCUUACGAGUAGGGCUACACACGUGCUACAAUGGCGCAUACAAAGAGAAGCGACCUCGCGAGAGCAAGCGGACCUCAUAAAGUGCGUCGUAGUCCGGAUUGGAGUCUGCAACUCGACUCCAUGAAGUCGGAAUCGCUAGUAAUCGUAGAUCAGAAUGCUACGGUGAAUACGUUCCCGGGCCUUGUACACACCGCCCGUCACACCAUGGGAGUGGGUUGCAAAAGAAGUAGGUAGCUUAACCUUCGGGAGGGCGCUUACCACUUUGUGAUUCAUGACUGGGGUGAAGUCGUAACAAGGUAAGCGUAGCGAG